rnacentral:rRNA from 1 species
GUGGGGAAUAUUGGACAAUGGGCGAAAGCCUGAUCCAGCCAUGCCGCGUGUGUGAAGAAGGUCUUCGGAUUGUAAAGCACUUUAAGUUGGGAGGAAGGGCAGUAAGUUAAUACCUUGCUGUUUUGACGUUACCGACAGAAUAAGCACCGGCUAACUUCGUGCCAGCAGCCGCGGUAAUACGAAGGGUGCAAGCGUUAAUCGGAAUUACUGGGCGUAAAGCGCGCGUAGGUGGUUUUGUAAGUUGGAGGUGAAAUCCCCGGGCUCAACCUGGGAACUGCCUCCAAAACUGCAUGACUAGAGUACGGUAGAGGGUAGUGGAAUUUCCUGUGUAGCGGUGAAAUGCGUAGAUAUAGGAAGGAACACCAGUGGCGAAGGCGACCACCUGGACUGAUACUGACACUGAGGUGCGAAAGCGUGGGGAGCAAACAGGAUUAGAAACCCUAGUAGUCC